rnacentral:lncRNA from 1 species
ACUGUAUACGUGUGACGUUGCUCAUGCAUGCGAGACUUCAUUCCAUGUGCUGUGUGCGUGUGUUCCUUUCGUAAGUGGGUGCAAAGUUGUGUUGCAAAUGCUCUGCUCAUGCACGAAUUGCUUGCGCAUGUGUGAUCCUCUUCAUAUGUACACAUCUUUUAUGUGUGUGUGUGACAUCAUCUUUCUCGCACGUGCAGGCCCUCCUUCCCGCACAUGUGCAUGCCUACACAUGCAUGUAAAACUGCUGUCUUGCACUAUUUGUCUUUAUAGGAAUCUCAUUUUUCCCGUUGGUAGGAGUUUGCAUCUAUGUGUUGUGCGGCAUGCGUGCGCGACAUAUUUGUGCUUGCACUCAUGCAUUAUGUGCACUACAUGAUCUUCUC